AAAGUGUACUCUCAUAACGUAAGCUACAAACUAGCCUUUGUUAAUUCAAACUUAUAAAAUUAAUAAACCUAGAUCUAAACCUUCACCUUUCUUAAAAAAAUAAUACUUUUCAAUGGCACUUGUAAUUGCCAAAGCACUCCCAUAGAAUGGAAGUCCAUGCCCACCCACCCCUGAAACGCCAUUCUUUCCAUACAUGGUCGCAGCUCUCACAGAACACAAUCCAGGGCCCCUGGUCAUGUGUGAUGCUAUAACAGGAUGAACUCAACAGAGCAAAUCUGUAAAAUAUGCUUAUCCAGGUUGAAACAUGGCAGAAAUAACUAGAUUAACAACAGUACUCUUAUAAUAAAGGACUUAGAACCAAACCCAGUAAUUGGAUUUAUUGUCAAAGAUACAUUCCAAGUUUUUCAUUCAUUCUAUGAAUUCUGAGAGGGCUGGCAUGAACAGUCACUUGGCAAGUAUUGACCAAUGAUCAUGGCUGAGCAUUGUGUCCAUGUUCAGGUUUGAACAAAAGGCUGCUAAAAAUUUCUUGAUGUCAGAAAAGGCCCACUUCAGGAGAAAAUAUACAAAAUGUUAACAUACUGUAGAGAUGAGCAGCAGAAAUCCACAGUGAACACUUUAGGAAACAGAAGAGUGGCCCUUACUCACUGGGG
rnacentral:lncRNA from 1 species